rnacentral:rRNA from 1 species
CUGGGGUUCGGGUCGGCGGUUUGCCGCUAUGCGGCUACUGCCGUGCUCGACUCUUACUAGCCGGUGCGUCUGCUGUUGUGCUCUUCACUGAGUGCCUGCAGAGCCUGGCAUGUUUACUUUGAAAAAAUUAGAGUGCUCAAAGCAGGCGCUUGCGCCUGAAUAGUGUUGCAUGGAAUAAUGGAAUAGGACCUCGGUUCUAUUUUGUUGGUUUUCGGAACUUGAGGUAAUGAUUAAGAGGGACGGUCGGGGGCAUUCGUAUUUCGGUGUUAGAGGUGAAAUUC